rnacentral:rRNA from 1 species
CUACGGGUGGCUGCAGUGGGGAAUAUUGGGCAAUGGGCGCAAGCCUGACCCAGCAACGCCGCGUGAGGGAAGAAGGUUCUCGGAUUGUAAACCUCUGUCCUUGGGGACGAAGAAAGUGACGGUACCCAAGGAGGAAGCUCCGGCUAACUACGUGCCAGCAGCCGCGGUAAUACGUAGGGAGCAAGCGUUGUCCGGAAUUACUGGGCGUAAAGGGUGCGUAGGCGGCAUAUUAAGUCAGGUGUGAAAUAUUCGGGCUCAACCCGAAGGGUGCAUUUGAAACUGGUAUGCUUGAGUGUGAGAGAGGAAAGUGGAAUUCCUAGUGUAGCGGUGAAAUGCGUAGAUAUUAGGAGGAACACCAGUGGCGAAGGCGACUUUCUGGCUCAUAACUGACGCUGAGGCACGAAAGCGUGGGUAGCAAACAGGAUUAGAUACCCCUGUAGUC